AGUGAACGCUGGCGGUAGGCCUAACACAUGCAAGUCGAACGGCAGCACAGUAAGAGCUUGCUCUUACGGGUGGCGAGUGGCGGACGGGUGAGGAAUACAUCGGAAUCUACUUUUUCGUGGGGGAUAACGUAGGGAAACUUACGCUAAUACCGCAUACGACCUACGGGUGAAAGCAGGGGAUCUUCGGACCUUGCGCGAUUGAAUGAGCCGAUGUCGGAUUAGCUAGCUGGCGGGGUAAAGGCCCACCAAGGCGACGAUCCGUAGCUGGUCUGAGAGGAUGAUCGGCCACACUGGAACUGAGACACGGUCCAGACUCCUACGGGAGGCAGCAGUGGGGAAUAUUGGACAAUGGGCGCAAGCCUGAUCCAGCCAUACCGCGUGGGUGAAGAAGGCCUUCGGGUUGUAAAGCCCUUUUGUUGGGAAAGAAAAGCAGCAGGUUAAUACCCCGCUGUUCUGACGGUACCCAAAGAAUAAGCACCGGCUAACUUCGUG
rnacentral:rRNA from 1 species